UGAGGAAUAUUGGGCAAUGCCCGCAAGGGUGACCCAGCAACGCCGCGUGGAGGAUGAAUGUCGUAAGAUUGUAAACUCCUGUUAGAGGGGAAGAAUAGUACCGGUUGGACCGGUAUAUGACUGUACCCUCAGAGAAAGCCCCGGCUAACUACGUGCCGGCAGCCGCGGUAAUACGUAGGGGGCAAGCGUUGUCCGGAUUUACUGGGUGUAAAGGGCGCGCAGGCGGGAUAAAAAGUCAGUGGUGAAAUCCUACAGCUUAACUGUAGAACUGCCUUUGAUACUUUUAUUCUUGAGUUCGGGAGAGAGAGACGGAAUUCCAGGUGGAGUGGUGAAAUACGUAGAUAUCUGGAAGAACACCAGUUGCGAAGGCGGUCUCUUGGUCCGACACUGACGCUGAGGCGCGAAAGCGUGGGGAGCAAACA
rnacentral:rRNA from 1 species